GAUGAACGCUGACGGAGUGCUUAACACAUGCAAGUCGAUGGGGAAGUGGUGCUUGCACCAUGGUAACCAUGGCGGGCGGGUGAGUAACGCGUAAGGAACUUGCCUGCGGGACUGGGAUAACAGCAGGAGACUGCUGAUAAUACCGGAUAAGGUCAUUAAGCUGCAUAGCUUAGUGAUGAAAGGAGACGCCUGCGGAGAGCCUUGCGUCCUAUUAGCUAGUUGGAGGGGUAACGGCCCACCAAGGCGAAGAGAGGUAGCCGGCCUGAGAGGGUGGACGGCCACGAGGGGUCUGAGAUGCGGCACUUACUCCUACGGGAGGCAGCAGUGGGGCAUAUUGGACAAUGGGGGCGUCCCUGAUCCAGCAAUUCGGUGUGCACGAAGACGGUUUUCGGAGUGUAAAGUGCUGUCAGCAGGGAAGAAGGAAGUGACGGUACCUGCAGAAGAAGCGACGGCUAACUACGUG
rnacentral:rRNA from 1 species